AGGGAAAUUUGCAUCUCUCUGCUCUUUUUGAAUACUUUCUCAUUAGACUCAUUAAGAUUUCUUGCCCAGUUCCAGCUAUCCCAUAUGUUUGAUCACUGCCUGUUCAUACCUUCCUGGUAUGGCUGGUUGGCAGUAACCUCUGAUCAAUCCAAAUUUCAUCAUACAUUUAUUGGCAAGCACUGACCUCAGAGAAAACUACUCAAGGAUCAAACAGAGUUAUAAAGAAAAAGAAACUUACUGCAAAGAAAGGCAAUACACUUUCAGUAAAGUAAACAGCAAGAAAAGUGGUAUAGUUCUAUGCAAAGACUUCAUCUACUCUAGAAUCCUGUCUCAGAAGAUGAAGGCUGCUCUGGUGAAAGAUAAGUUCAGCAAAUAAAACAGACGAGACUGGCUGAUUUAGAAGCUGGAAGGGAAUGAAUGGACAGCUGAAUCCUAGCAAAACCAUUUUCUUCAAAGUGAAUUAUCUGAAUGAAAAUGGGAAGAAAAGGCCCAGUCUAGUCAGGAAAAGAAAAUGGCAAGAUGCUUGCAGUACCUCCGUAGAUUUGCAUUGCUAAUUUUGAAUCCAUGUAAUUGAGCAAUGGUGGAGCACAGCCAUGCCAAGCAUAGAGGAAAAUUAGAUAUGAGUUAGGGGAACAAAGGACUAAAUCAGUACAGGAAGAUUCUGAAAGAAAAUGUACAAAUCGUGGCAGGAAAACAGUACUUCAAAAGGCUCAUGCCUGAGAUUUGUUAUGGCUAUCAGGAAACAUCAGUUCUGCUCCUAAUUUCAUCUCUAUUUAAAGAAAGAAAAGAAAUCUGAAUAAUUUAA
rnacentral:lncRNA from 1 species